rnacentral:rRNA from 1 species
CGCGGCCUAUCAGCUUGUUGGUGAGGUAACGGCUCACCAAGGCGACGACGGGUAGCCGGCCUGAGAGGGCGACCGGCCACACUGGGACUGAGAUACGGCCCAGACUCCUACGGGAGGCAGCAGUGGGGAAUAUUGCACAAUGGGCGAAAGCCUGAUGCAGCAACGCCGCGUGCGGGAUGACGGCCUUCGGGUUGUAAACCGCUUUCAGCAGGGACGAAGCUAACGUGACGGUACCUGCAGAAGAAGCACCGGCUAACUACGUGCCAGCAGCCGCGGUGAUACGUAGGGUGCGAGCGUUGUCCGGAAUUAUUGGGCGUAAAGAGCUUGUAGGCGGUUUGUUGCGUCGGAAGUGAAAACUCAGAGCUUAACUCUGAGCCUGCUUUCGAUACGGGCAGACUUGAGGGAUGUAGGGGAGAACGGAAUUCCUGGUGGAGCGGUGGAAUGCGCAGAUAUCAGGAGGAACACCAGUGGCGAAGG